ACAAAAACACAUACAAGUUAUUCUAACAAGAUGAGCGGCGAUCACCAGUUCUUCCCGUCUGUGCACGAUUCCUCCAGCACAUCAUCUGAUAUUUGGUCCAGCUUGACUUUCAACACUCCUAAAAGCUCCGAACAGCUAUUUAAACCUCUACCUUGGCCCAAAACAAGCAGCCUCUCAAUAGCUGAAUACCAACCGCUUGAUGCCUUCUGUCCGCCUGAGGGUCCUCGUUGGUUGUCGACGACUGACCAGGAUGUCGUCAGUGAACUGGGCAUUCGCUUGGUGGAGAUCGAGUUAUUAACAAUCAUAGGAGAACAUGGCGACAAUCAUGGAAAGAACUUCUUUCUAAGCGAGAUGGAUGUGCAUCUGAGAAGAAUAAGACUAGGAAGACCUUUGCUACAACAUCCAUCAUCAAUUUAUUAAAAAUCUAUUUUUUAUA